GGGGGGGCGAGAUGGGUGCCCGGGGGGCGCGCCAGGCUUCGCCGUGACUGCGGGGGGGUGUCCCGGGGUGCGCGGCCCGCGCUGCCAGAACAGGGAAGGGGACGGGGAGCAGCUGCCCCCUUGGCUCCCACUCUUCCCCUGAGAAGCAGCGCGUCGGUUUGUCUCUCUCCCUCCCCUGCACCUGGAGCAAAGACCCACCAGCGCUUCAGAGACAAACCCUGCGGGACCCAUGGCAGAGGGCGGUUAUGGCCUGGGUACCUAAAACGCCGUGUGGUGCCUCACUUUAAGCCCGCGCCUUUGAAAACGAGCCCUCUGCUGCUGCCGCCUUGCUCCGCUCCCUUCUCUGGAGAGAGCCAUUUAAAACCACUUCGGGGUGUUUUCUUUGAACCGAUUACAUGAAUGAUUGCUGGAGCGCAAAGGCAGUUUACUGUUUAAGGAAGAGAAACAUAUGAUAACUAUUACUGAUAUUAAAGGCAGUGACCAGAAGCUCCAGUUAUACUUGGGCCCUUUGUGCUGGGUGCCGCACAAACACAUGGUUCAGCUACUAUUCCAUCUAUUGGCAGGAAGGCUGAGGACCUCAGAAGCUCUCCACCAAGCUCUAGCACCUCCUUAUGCUACUAGUUCAGAUUCCUUCAGAGGCCUCACUUCACCAGCCAAAGAAGAUGGGAAACUCUGUGGGACAAAGUCCCAGUAAGAGGGAGAAUGAAAUGAGCUCUCAGUCUGCUUUUAAUAGAGCAAACUGUACUCUGCCAUUCUCCCCUUUAAUUUCAGGUUGAGUUGCGCCACCAACAUUUUGAAACCAGUUAGGUUUGGUCCCCAAAUACUACUACAAAAGCUUGAUUGUGUGCCACUGAUUCAGUUUAGAAGUGACAACACUCUAAAAGUACCUAAGGUGACCUUUCAUAUAAGAACAGCAUCCUUAUUUCGGGUAUACCUGAAGCACUUCAAUUCACUGUUGACAGUCCUAAUCUUUCAAUACUGCUGGCCAGGUGCCAUGUCUACUAUGAUAAGUAAGAUCCACAAGGCUUAAAUGAAUAGAUAAUGUUAUCUUACUUAGUUACUAUUAAAAUGAAUGCAAUGUAGAGUUUUCAAUAUAAUUUAUGUCUGUAAAAUUCUGUCCAGACAAACAGUCUAUAGAUCACUUUCUGCAGGGAGAUUGAUGAGAACUGCUCUUGCUGAAGUUACACAGCAGGACAAGUAACUGCUAGGAAAAUUCAUAUUUAUAGUGAGGAACUGAAUGAUAACAUAGGUCAAGUACUUGUUUCUUGCUGGGUACAGCUCAUGCAAAUAUUGGUCCAUUUUACUAUGAAAGGAAGAUUUGGUUCAGCAGGAAUAAGUAUGGUUUUAAAGUAUAGUAGCAUUGUGUGUAUUGCUGCAGUAAAUGUUCCAUUCACGUUUUCCUUCUUAACGAAACUACUACAUUCAGGGAAUUAUAUAAUUUUAAAUUAAAUUGGGCUGAAACUUUGUAAACAUCUAAUUUUAAACUAUAAUGCACUGCACCUUAAUACGUGUACAAAGAAUUUGUAUGGCUACACAUACAAACAUAAAAUUAUUAUAUUCCAUUAUAUCUUGUUAGGCAUUCAAUGGCCUGAAGGCAUAUGGUGCCUGCUAAUAAAUAUAAUUCUUGUAUUACACGAAAUAUUUUAAACCAUUUUGAUUAUCAAAAACUAUAUUUGAGUCUGAAACAGAAUGAAGUACAGUAGCUACUAUCCAGCAUAAUUCUGUAAAUCAAGACCUUGCAAAAGCAAGGGCAGAACAGAAGAGGAACCUCUUAGUAAGACUGUCCUCUUCAUGCAUUCUGUUGCUAUCAAUCCCAUUCAGAUCUGAUAUUCCACCAUCAUUGCUACAAUUAUCUGUCCUCUUCUUCCAUCUGUUGCAACUCUGUGAAGUAUAGUGACUUGUGGGGAUAACAGGGAGGGGCUGUGGAGGAUCACUACAUCGAAGGCUGUAGAUAGCAGGUGGCUGUAAUGUUCUAACAAUUCAUGAACAUCCUGCCCGUAUCUGAUUAUUAGUCCCCUUUACCCAGCAGUGAAGUCUAGAAAUCUUUGGUAUCCAUAUGCCUGUUAGCAAACCAGUGUAUUUGGUCUGCCUUUGCAAUAGAUGGGAGAGAAGACCCAAAUCUUGGUUGCAUGAAGUGAUGACAGGAACUUGGAAGAGGCAUAUUUGGUACACCCUUAGUCUCAAAACGCAAGCAGAGGAUUAAGUGUCUUGCAGUCCUGUGCAGGUUCAACUGUGGUGCUAAGAUCAGCAGGGAGAGGGAAUUGGGCAACAGUUUUAUUUCCUUGUCAAUACAUAUUCGCCAACUCUGGACAAAGAUGCUGUCUAAAUCCUGCAGCAUGGUAGAAGAGGACACUUCCACAAAAAUAAACCUUUCAUUUAAAGUGAGAUAAAAUAGAAGGAUGCAUGGUCUAGAUUUAAGAUACUCAGUUUAAUAUUUGACAAGACAAACCUUUUAAAAUUUUUCCAAGAUUUCCAGACUUACAGUAAAUGCAUCUACCAUUGAGCUAAACCACCUAAAUCUAACACCUACUAGGUAUCAAACUUUUAUUUAAAUGCUCUUUUAUAUAUGCCCAAAAUAUAAUCUGCGCAGAAAGUUAGCUUGAAAAAUGCACUGCAUUCUGUAUGACUGAGUUUUAUAUUUGCACAGAUUUAUGGAAGAAUGUACCCUUUAACAGUUAUAGUGUAGGUAUUGCUCAUCUGAGCCUAAAUGAAAAAAAUAAGUUAUAUUUCUCUUUGAGGACACAUACUUUCACAUAAAUACAAUACACCUACAGAGAGAAAGAUGGACCAUGACGAAAAGCAGACCAUUCGAAACUUGCUUCAUAGGAGACAAGAUCAAGAUGUCUCUUGAAUUUAAGAAGUUUGUUACCGUUACUCAUUGUAGAGAAACCCAUACAUUUGGUGAACAUAGAGAAAGGAUUCAUUAUUGCCACAAAGAAAAGGAGUACUCCUUUUCUUUCAGCGAAUACAGAAUAACACGGCUGCUACUCUGAAACCUGUCAUUAUUGCCACACUUACUGUCAAGGUAACAAAGAAUCAAGAUUUUUCUAUAAGAUUUUUCUAUCUUUUAUGUACCAAGAAGUACAAGAGAUUUUUUUUACUGACUUAACUAAGCAUCUAUAGAACAUGCCCUUAAAGUGGAUUUUCACAUGUGCAAUUUGUGGCCAUACAUAAUGAUUGGUUGAUAUUACUCUUUUCAGUAUUAACUUUGUGACCUGGUAGCAGAUACCCAGCAAAGUUAAUUUUGUCUUUUAUGAUUAACUUUGCACUUGAACUCAUGUGGCCAGAUCGUCAGCUGAUGUAAAUAAGCAUAGGUACAUUGAAGUCAAUAGAGGUACACUCAUUUACCCUAUCUGAGGAUCUUGGCCAUGUGUCUUUUUAUUAUUUCUGUUUUUGGUUCUCCUUCAAACUUAUAUUUCAUUAAGGAUUUAAAAAGCUGAUCAACUUAUUAAACAUUUUUACAUGUUUAGCACACCCUUCUACAUUCUAUACCCAUCAGCAUAGUACCUGUGCAUCUAACACAUUUUCCAGAAUUUGAGAUUAUCAUGCUUUUCAGCUGCCCCAAAUAUUCUUUCUUUAAAGUAAAAUGAAAUGUAGCAUUGAUAUUUGAAGGUCCUCCAAACAACAAUAAAACACAAA